UAUAACUGGACAGAGAGAAACCAACCGACAAGGAGAUCCUCUUCAAUCGAUUCCCAACGAUCCACGUCCAGUGGAGAGCACCGUCAAUAUCAAAACCGCAACCAACGCAGAACACGAGGCAUCAAUCAAGGACAUCGAGGUGGGGAGACUGCUGGCCAUCAGACAUCUACUAUGACAACUCGCUCCCAGGUUCCAUGAAUUCUACACUACACCCAGUGCCGCAGGGGAUAUUCUACACCAUUGUGAUUUAUACAACCUACGUCUGAAUAAUCAAAGG